rnacentral:rRNA from 1 species
UGGGGAAUAUUGCACAAUGGGGGAAACCCUGAUGCAGCGACGCCGCGUGAAGGAAGAAGUAUCUCGGUAUGUAAACUUCUAUCAGCAGGGAAGAAAAUGACGGUACCUGACUAAGAAGCCCCGGCUAAUUACGUGCCAGCAGCCGCGGUAAUACGUAAGGGGCAAGCGUUAUCCGGAUUUACUGGGUGUAAAGGGAGCGUAGACGGAUGGACAAGUCUGAUGUGAAAGGCGGGGGCCCAACCCCCGGACUGCAUUGGAAACUGCCCGUCUUGAGUGCCGGAGAGGUAAGCGGAAUUCCUAGUGUAGCGGUGAAAUGCGUAGAUAUUAGGAGGAACACCAGUGGCGAAGGCGGCUUACUGGACGGUAACUGACGUUGAGGCUCGAAAGCGUGGGGAGCAAACA